UACGUAGGGUGCAAGCGUUGUCCGGAAUUAUUGGGCGUAAAGAGCUCGUAGGCGGUCUGUCGCGUCUGCUGUGAAAAUCCAGGGCUCAACCCUGGACCUGCAGUGGGUACGGGCAGACUAGAGUGCGGUAGGGGAGAUCGGAAUUCCUGGUGUAGCGGUGAAAUGCGCAGAUAUCAGGAGGAACACCGGUGGCGAAGGCGGAUCUCUGGGCCGUAACUGACGCUGGAGGAGCGAAAGCAUGGGAGCGAACAG
rnacentral:rRNA from 1 species